rnacentral:rRNA from 1 species
CCUACGGGAGGCAGCAGUAGGGAAUUUUCGUCAAUGGGCGCAAGCCUGAACGAGCAAUGCCGCGUGAACGAGGAAGGUCUUCGGAUCGUAAAGUUCUGUUGAAGGAGAAAAAGAGCGGAGAGAGGAAAUGGUCUCCGAUUGAUAUUACCCUUCGAGGAAGUCACGGCUAACUACGUGCCAGCAGCCGCGGUAAUACGUAGGUGGUGAGCGUUAUCCGGAAUGAUUGGGCGUAAAGGGUGCGUAGGCGGCCUGCUAAGUCUGGAGUGAAAGGUACCGGCUCAACCGGUACAGGCUCUGGAAACUGGCGGGCUAGAGAGCAGGAGAGGGCGGUGGAACUCAAUGUGUAGCGGUAAAAUGCGUAGAUAUAUGGAAGAACACCAGUGGCGAAGGCGGCCGCCUGGCCUGUUACUGACGCUGAGGCACGAAAGCGUGGGGAGCAAAUAGGAUUAGAUACCCCAGUAGUC